ACGUAGUUAGCCGUCCCUUUCUGGUAAGCUACCGUCACAGUGUGAACUUUCCACUCUCACACCCGUUCUUGACUUACAACAGAGCUUUACGAUCCGAAAACCUUCUUCACUCACGCGGCGUUGCUCGGUCAGGGUUGCCCCCAUUGCCGAAGAUUCCCUACUGCUGCCUCCCGUAGGAGUCUGGGCCGUGUCUCAGUCCCAGUGUGGCCGAUCACCCUCUCAGGUCGGCUAUGUAUCGUCGCCUAGGUGAGCCAUUACCUCACCUACUAGCUAAUACAACGCAGGUCCAUCUUGUAGUGGAGCAAUUGCCCCUUUCAAAUAAAUGACAUGUGUCAUCCAUUGUUAUGCGGUAUUAGCUAUCGUUUCCAAUAGUUAUCCCCCGCUACAAGGCAGGUUACCUACGCGUUACUCACCCGUUCGCAACUCAUCCAAGAAGAGCAAGCUCCUCUCUUCAGCGUUCUACUUGCAUGUAUUAGGCACGCCGCCAGCGUUCGU
rnacentral:rRNA from 1 species